AACCCGAAUUAAUAGACCUACGGCGUAAAACGUGUUUAAGAAAUUACCUACUACUAAAGUCAAACUCUAGCUACGCUGUAAAAAGCCCCAGCUCCUGUAAGCCCAACUACGAAAGUGACUUUAAAAUGUCUGAAUACACGAUAGCUAAGACCCAAACUGGGAUUAGAUACCCCACUAUGCUUAGCCUUAAACCCAAAGAAUUAUUAUAACAAAAUUCUUCGCCAGAGAACUACUAGCUAAAGCUUAAAACUCAAAGGACUUGGCGGUGCUUUAUAUCCCUCUAGAGGAGCCUGUUCUAUAAUCGAUAAACCCCGAUAAACCCCACCAACCCUUGCCAACU
rnacentral:rRNA from 1 species